rnacentral:rRNA from 1 species
UAGGCCUCAAAUAAUGUGUGACU